UGCAUGUCUAAGUUCAGAGACUCGUACUCUCAAACCGCGGAUGGCUCAUUAUAACAGCCCUGAUUUAAGAGAACUACUGUUUCAUUACUACAAGAUAACUGUGGUAAUUCUAGAGCUAAUAUUUCAAAACAAUGCCGUAACUUCGGAAGCGGCGGAUUUAUUAGAUCAAAAUCAACCUGUCGCAAGACGGUUAAUUUGAUGAAUCUGGAUAACUUUACUGAUCGUACGACCUCUGUGUUGACGACAUAUCUCUUGAAAAGGCUGACCUAUCAACUUUCGAUGGUAAGAUCAAAGCUUACCAUGGUUGUAACGGGUAACGGGGAAUCAGUGUUCGAUUCCGGAGAGGGAGCCUGACAAACGGCUACCACAUCUACGGAAGGCAGCAGGCGCGUAAAUUACCCAAUACCAGCUCGGUGAGGUAGUGACAAAAAAUAACAAUAUGGGCCCUAGUGGUUUCAUAAUUGCAAUGAGAACAUUUUAAAUACUUUAUCAAGUAUCCAUUGGAGGGCAAGUCUGGUGCCAGCAGCCGCGGUAAUUCCAGCUCCAAAAGCGUAUAUUAAAGUUGUUGCAGUUAAAAAGCUCGUAGUUGAAAUUGAGGAAUUAAGUUCGAUAUGAGAUCUCAGAUCGAUGUUGAACUUGUCCUUCUACGUCGCGUAUAUGUGUGAUGCUCUUUAAUGGGUGUCAUGUAUAACCGACAAGUUUACUUUGAAAAAAUUAGAGUGCUUAACGCAGGCUUAUGCUUGUAUAUUGUUGCAUGGAAUAAUGAAAUAGGACUUCGGUUUUAUUUUGUUGGUUUUCGGAACUGAAGUAAUGAUUAAAAGAGACUGCCGGGGGGCAUAUGUAUGCUGGGGGGGAGAAGGUGAAAUUCUUAAAAUCGCCAGCAGACAAACUACUGCCAAAGGCAUUUGCCAGGAAUGUUUUCAUUAAUCCAGAACCGAAAGUCAGAGGAUCGAAAACGAUCC
rnacentral:rRNA from 1 species